CUGCUUUCAAAAAUAACUUAGCGGCGGACGGGUGAGUAACACGUAGGCAACCUGCCCCUUAGACUGGGAUAACUACCGGAAACGGUAGCUAAUACCGGAUAAUUUCUUUUUUCUCCUGAAGAGAGAAUGAAAGACGGAGCAAUCUGUCACUGAGGGAUGGGCCUGCGGCGCAUUAGCUAGUUGGUGAGGUAACGGCUCACCAAGGCGACGAUGCGUAGCCGACCUGAGAGGGUGAACGGCCACACUGGGACUGAGACACGGCCCAGACUCCUACGGGAGGCAGCAGUAGGGAAUCUUCCGCAAUGGGCGAAAGCCUGACGGAGCAAUGCCGCGUGAGUGAUGAAGGUUUUCGGAUCGUAAAGCUCUGUUGCCAGGGAAGAACGUCCGGUAGAGUAACUGCUACCGGAGUGACGGUACCUGAGAAGAAAGCCCCGGCUAACUACGUGCCAGCAGCCGCGGUAAUACGUAGGGGGCAAGCGUUGUCCGGAAUUAUUGGGCGUAAAGCGCGCGCAGGCGGCUACUUAAGUCUGGUGUUUAAACCUUGGGCUCAACCUAAGGUCGCACUGGAAACUGGGUGGCUUGAGUACAGAAGAGGAAAGUGGAAUUCCACGUGUAGCGGUGAAAUGCGUAGAUAUGUGGAGGAACACCAGUGGCGAAGGCGACUUUCUGGGCUGUAACUGACGCUGAGGCGCGAAAGCGUGGGGAGCAAACAGGAUUAGAUACCCUGGUAGUCCACGCCGUAAACGAUGAGUGCUAGGUGUUAGGGGUUUCGAUACCCGAGGCCGAUUACCUAAGUAAGCAUCCGCUGGGAGACGUCGCAGACG
rnacentral:rRNA from 1 species